rnacentral:rRNA from 1 species
UAGGGAAUCUUCCGCAAUGGACGCAAGUCUGACGGAGCAACGCCGCGUGAGUGAAGAAGGUUUUCGGAUCGUAAAGCUCUGUUGUUAAGGAAGAACGAGUGUGAGAAUGGAAAGUUCAUACUGUGACGGUACUUAACCAGAAAGGGACGGCUAACUACGUGCCAGCAGCCGCGGUAAUACGUAGGUCCCGAGCGUUGUCCGGAUUUAUUGGGCGUAAAGCGAGCGCAGGCGGUUAGAUAAGUCUGAAGUUAAAGGCAGUGGCUCAACCAUUGUAGGCUUUGGAAACUGUUUAACUUGAGUGCAGAAGGGGAGAGUGGAAUUCCAUGUGUAGCGGUGAAAUGCGUAGAUAUAUGGAGGAACACCGGUGGCGAAAGCGGAUCUCUGGUCUGUAACUGACGCUGAGGUUCGAAAGCGUGGGUAGCAAACAGG